CCACGCACAGUCCCAUCAGCGGAGCACCCGGGCCUCUGGGAAGUGGAGCAAGACGUGGGGGAGGGCCGGGGACCCAGGGGCACGCCCGGCGGGAGGGCCAAUCAUUCGGGUCUCUCCCCGAGGUGGCCUGCCGCCUGGGGCCGCACACAGCUCCCCAGGACACGAAAGGAAGGUGCAAGAAGGGACCCAAGAGGGGCCAAGCAGGGCUGGGGGCGGCGGCGGUGGGAAGACAGAGACCGAGGCCCAAGGGAUGCAGGAGGAUAGAGGGGCUCUUCCUUUUUUGCUGUCCGCGCCUCCUGCUUCCGACCCCACGUGACUCCCGCGCAGGAGCUCCUCGUGGGAAGAAGUCCUUCCCAGAAGCCGCGGUGUCUUCAGCGGGGUGGCGCUGCGGGAGGACCUCCUUGGCCCUCCGUGUGUCUGCGGCGCCUCCUGCAGGCUCUCCGGAGUAGAGUGACCCCAUCAGCUGUGAUCCAAAGGAGGACACUCUGAGAGUGUAGAAGGGGCUUCGCAGAGCAAUAAACAUAAACCAGACUCUAGGACAGCGGGUGCAAACCAGGACUGGGCCCUAUGGUCACCCUGUCUCAGAAGGACGCCUCUGAGCAAGGUUUCUCUGGCUCAGCAGGAGCUCCCCCGACUCACCCCAGCUCCAGGCCUGUUUCCAGCUCUGGGCCUCCACCCCCCCCGCAGGCCUUCCGUUUCCGCAAUCACACCUGCAUUUGCUCUUCUUUUACCUUUUACCCCGGCUAAGGAAAUUACCUUUCACCUGGUGCCCCAACCUGGAAGUCUCCUUAACCCUUACUUAAAUCCACCUGGUCCCCAAGUCCUGGCGAGUCUGCUUCUGUUAUGUGUCCUAUGGAGCCCUUCCCCCUCUCCAGCCCUGUUUGUCCCCACCUGACUUCGGUUCCUCCUCCAGUCUUCUCUCCCUGACGCCAAAAGCCCCGUCUACAGCUCUGGGUGGGGGCUGAGUCAGGGACCACACAGGUGUGAGACAUCAGGCAAAACCACCUAACUGGCUGGACCCACUUCCUAAAUGUUGUCGAGUUCCAGAACCUCUCCAGGGCUUUUUAGGGCUUGGCAAACCUCCAGGGACUGGACACAAGUGCCCAGAUACAGCGGUCCCUGGAUUUGCUUGGGGCUCAGGUGCCACGUGGGAAGGAAUUCAGUGUCACUUAGAGCCUGAACUUCUUAGAGCUUAGGCAGAAGUUUCUGGAAGAUGGCUGGCGGGACAGAGAGCCAGAAAGCACGGUGAGGUGGGAAGAUGGGCCGGUAGAAAAAGCCGCUGGAUCAGGAAGUGAGAGAGCCAGGGGGCCUGGGUGCUGUAUGAAGCCGUGUCUGAGCUCUCCCCAAUGGAGAGUGUGGGAUGGGCUGAGACGGAGAGGCCAGGGCUGCGGCACUGGGAUCCCAGCUGCUCUCUGGUGGCGGCAGGUAGAAGGUGACUCCCUACUGGGUGGAGGGGAGGACACGUGAGAUGUCAGUGGUGUGGAGGAGGGGGCGGGGAGGGGCUCAUAGCCCUGGCAGAAGCCCACUUUUGGCGCAGUGGCAGAGUUUAGACCAGCAGCCCAUGAGUGGGGCAGAGUGGUCAGUGGAGUAGAAAGAUGGCGAAAGUGGCCAGCACUGUGUGUGAAACAACCCCGCCCCACCCCAUCUAGAGGACAGAGUCUACUCUGAGUCCAUGAACUGCAGGGGGCCAGAGAACACCAAGAUAAGCACCUCUGAGAAUUCUAGGAAAUACUGUAUCCAACAUUUUAUUCUAGAAAAUUCAAAAUGUACACAAAAGCAGAGGUAAGACUCUUAUGAAUCCUCCAUGUAGUUCUGUGCCCCUGCUUACUCCUCUUCU